GAUGAACGCUGGCGGCGUGCCUAAUACAUGCAAGUCGAGCGAACAGAUGAGGAGCUUGCUCCUCUGACGUGAGCGGCGGACGGGUGAGUAACACGUGGAUAACCUACCUAUAAGACUGGGAUAACUUCGGGAAACCGGAGCUAAUACCGGAUAAUAUAUUGAACCGCAUGGUUCAAUAGUGAAAGACGGUUUUGCUGUCACUUAUAGAUGGAUCCGCGCCGCAUUAGCUAGUUGGUAAGGUAACGGCUUACCAAGGCGACGAUGCGUAGCCGACCUGAGAGAGUGAUCGGCGACACUGGAACUGAGCCACGGUCCAGACUCCUAAGGGAGGCAGCAGUAGGGAAUCUUCCGCAAUGGGCGAAAGCCUGACGGAGCAACGCCGCGUGAGUGAUGAAGGUCUUCGGCUCGUAAAACUCUGUUAUUAGGGAAGAACAAAUGUGUAAGUAACUAUGCACGUCUUGACGGUACCUAAUCAGAAAGCUACGGCUAACUACGUG
rnacentral:rRNA from 1 species